AAGAGUUAGGGUCCCAGUGGCCCAACCUCCAACCCUCUGUUGUUAAAACCACCUUGUUGCUUUGGCGGGACCGCCCGGUCUCCGAGCGCGUUAACCCCCGGGUUGGCGAGCGCCCGCCAGAGUCCAACCAAACUCUUGUAUCAAACCAGUCGUCUGAGUAUAAAAUUUUAAUUAAAUUA
rnacentral:misc_RNA from 1 species